rnacentral:rRNA from 1 species
UACGUAGGCAGCAAGCGUUGUUCGGAGUUACUGGGCGUAAAGAGUGCGUAGGCGGUUUCGCAAGUUUGGUGUGAAAUCUCCCGGCUUAACUGGGAGGGUGCGCCGAAAACUGCGGGGCUGGAGUGUGGGAGAGGUAGGCGGAAUUCCUGGUGUAGCGGUGAAAUGCGUAGAUAUCAGGAGGAACACCGGUGGUGUAGACGGCUUACUGGAUCAUGACUGACGCUGAGGCACGAAAGCGUGGGGAGCAAACAGG